ensembl:lncRNA
CCCCCUGCCACCCUCAGGGCACACCCACCCUCUCUCCAGGCACUGCCUCCUGUGCCCUGGUGUCCAGAUCAAAUCAGAAUGGGGCGGACAGCUCUUCACUAACACCUUCCCUUCCAGGCCCACUCCCCCAGGGUCCUGAGCAGCCCUGGUCCGUGGGACCCUCUUCUCCCCACCCCCCUGCCUGGCUGAGCCUGGGGGAGCAAGUCACCAAACGACGCAGACUCAGGGCCCUGACUUGGGCCCCCCUCUCCCUGGCCGGGGUCCCCAGGGUCUCCUGGGCAGGGCAGGUGUGGGGCUGGGAGUCUGGGCCUGGACGCGGUUCCUCCACUCACAGCCAGGAACCCCUGCCAGCCCUACGUUAUUCAGCCACCAGCCAAAGCAGAAAUUCAGGAUCCCCUAGGUCAGACAGUGGCUCAGUUGGUAAAGAAUCUGACACCUGGGUUCGAUCCCUGGGUUGGGAAGAUCCCUUGGAGGAGGGCAUGGCAACCCACCUCAGUAUUCUUGCCUGGGGAAUCCCAUGGACAGAGGAGCCUGGCGGGUUGCUGUCUGUAGGGUCACACAGAGUCAGAAUGGAGUGACUUAGCACGCACACAUGUGCUGCCUUGGGACAGGCAGUGGAAGGAGAGCUUGGAUGGUCAGAAACCCAGAAGUGGGCCAGAAGCUCCAGUGAGCCCACGCGAGGGUUCUUGGGGCAUUCCAGUAGGACCCGUUUCCUGGGGCACCCCCUUGGGACUUGAACGAAAGAGAACACGGUGACCUGUUUUCUGGGACCAGGAGGGAAUCAAGGUGAGGCUGGAAAUUAAUCAGACAUUCACCUGAUCCCCGCUCCGGGGGGUUCAGGGGUCACCGCUGAGCAUCUCCUUUCCCAGAAGCACCGGGCGAGGCUGGCCCCUCCAGGCUGGGUGGGAAGGGCGCCUGGGGGGCACUUCCUUCUCAUCCUGCACUUGGUGUGUCCCAGAGACACAUAAGGGGCUAUGAAACUAUUCUGCCUGCAGGCUGGGAACCACCCAAUUCUGGCUCAGCCCCAGCCAGAAGUGGUCCAGGUGCCACUGGGGUCCCCAGCCCAAGCUGUCACCUUCCUGGAUCAAAACGUUACCCUCAGGUUCUCCAGCCCCCCACCCCGCCCCAUGUCACUCAGCUGUGGUCUUCUGGUGGGAAGGGUCACACGUGUCUCCAGUGUCCAGCUCUGAUCACCGCAGUGAGUCACAAAGGAGAGAGACUCCUUCCCAGAUUCCGGAGGCAGUGACCGAGGUGGUGGGAGGGGGGCCUCGGUCAGACCCAAAGCCCCCUCCCCACUCUGACUAACCUGCACCCACAAUCCCGGCUGCCCUGAGGUUUCUGGAACCUCUCCUCCAGACCUGGUUUAUGGAUUAUAAAAAAGAGAAUUUCAUGAGAUUUGCAAUUACUUGAAUUCCAGGGAGAUUUAUUUCCAAUGUGAUUAAUAAAUUCUAAUGUCAUCUAUAACUUUUAAUUGCCAGUUAAUUAACAUGCAAUGGGUGCAUUGUAAAAGGCAAAUUAAAUGCUUUCUCAGGCAGGGGCUGGUACAUCUAAUGAGCCAACGUGUCCCGAAGGAGACAGCCAGGCUUUCGUGUGCCAGUCCCCGCCUCCUCCAUACUGAUGGAUGUGUGACAGUUUGAUAGCAAGUGACAACCUGGCUUCGGUGUCAUCGUAAAAGGUGAUCAUGGAAGCUGCCUCCAAAACCCAUGGUAUCUGAGGUUGAAGCUGGUUUCUAUUCACAUACAUGCAACCUGAAGGGGAUUCAAGUGAUAAUUGGAGUUAAAAGUCCGGCUCUGGGAAUUCCCUGGUGGCCCAGUGGCUAAGACUCCAUGCUUCCAAUGCAGGGGGCCCCGGGUUCGAACCCUGGUCAGGAAACUAGAUUCCACAUGUCACAACUGAGAGUUCGCGUGCCGCAACUCAAGAGCCCAUAUACUGCAAAGAACAUUGAAGAUCCCACUUGCCACAACUAAGACUGGUACGGCCAAAUAAAUACAUACAAAAAAAAAAAAAAAAAGGAAACAGUCUGACUGUUUGCUCCCAUGGGCUGAGUGACUGUACCAGUCUCCCGAGGCUGGGCUAACAUAUGGCCAACAACUUUCCCCCACAUCUCUGGAGGCUGAAAUCAAGGUGUGGGCAGGGUCGUGCUCCCUCUGAAGGCUCUCUCCAGGGAAGAAUCUGUUCCUUGCCUUUUCCAGUUUCUAGAGGCCCGGGCAUCCCUUUGGCUCAAGCUUGCAUUGUUCCAACCUCUAUCCCUGUCAUCAUGAGCUUCUCUCCUGUGUCUGUCUUGUCCUCUGUGUUUCUCUCAUAAGGACACUCGUCUCUGGGCCAUCCAGAAUGACCUCUUCAUCUCAAGAUCCUUGACUUAAUCCCAUCCACAAAGACCCUCUUUCCAAACAAUGUCAUGCUCAGAAGCUCCAGGUUUAGGACUCGGACAUAUAUUUUGCAGGAGGAGGGAGGCGUUCUUCGGCCUAUGAUGGUGACCUUGGGCAAGUCACGUAACCUCUUGGGGCUUCCAUUUCCCACCUCUUCCAAUAAAGUGCCGCUUCAGUGGACUAGUAAGAGUAGCUUCUACUCUGUCAGGCACCAUUCUGAGCCCAUCACGUGCACUGACGUAUUUAAUCCUCACACCAACCUCAGGAAACAGGGCCACCAUCUUUGUUUUUCUGGUGAGCAGAUUCAGGCACCAGGGUGUUAUAGUGACUCACCCCAGGUACCAAGUGGUGGGGCCAGGAUUUGAACCAGGCCACCUCACCCUGCAGCCUGACAAUGAAAGUGGGGCUUCCCUUGUGGCUCAGAUGG